GACGAACGCUGGCGGCGUGCUUAACACAUGCAAGUCGAGCGAUGAAGUUUCUUCGGAAAUGGAUUAGCGGCGAACGGGUGAGGAACACGUGAAGAAUCUGCCCUCCACUUCGGGAUAACACCGGGAAACCGGUGCUAAUACUGAAUAUUGAAACAUAAGUGGCAUCACUGAGUUUUGAAAGAAUUUCGGUGGAGGAUGACUUCGCGGCCUAUCAGCUAGUUGGUGAGGUAAUGGCUCACCAAGGCAACGAUGGGUAGCCGGCCUGAGAGGGCGACCGGCCACACUGGGACUGGGACACGGCCCAGACUCCUACGGGAGGCAGCAGUGGGGAAUAUUGGGCAAUGGAGGAAACUCUGACCCAGCGACGCCGCGUGCGGGAUGAAGGCCUUCGGGUUGUAAACCGCUUUCAGUAGGGAAGAAGCGAAAGUGACGGUACCUACAAAAGAAGCACCGGCUAACUAUGUGCCAGCAGCCGCAGUAA
rnacentral:rRNA from 1 species